rnacentral:rRNA from 1 species
GUUAGGAAUAUUGGACAAUGGGCGAAAGCCUGAUCCAGUCAUGCCGCGUGAACGAUGAAGGCCUUCGGGUUGUAAAGUUCUUUAGCCGAUGAUUAUAAUGACUGUAGUCGGAAAAUAAGCCCCGGCUAACUUCGUGCCAGCAGCCGCGGUAAUACGAAGGGGGCGAGCGUUAUUCGGAAUCACUGGGCGUAAAGCGUGCGUAGGCGGUUUUGUAAGUUAGGAGUGAAAGCCCAGGGCUCAACCUUGGAAUUGCUCUUAAAACUGCAAGGCUCGAAUCUCGGAGAGGAUAGCGGAAUUUCCAGUGUAGCAGUGAAAUGCGUAGAUAUUGGAAGGAACACCAGUGGCGUAAGCGGCUAUCUGGACGAGUAUUGACGCUGAGGCACGAAAGCGUGGGGAUCAAACAGGAUUAGAAACCCCAGUAGUCC